rnacentral:rRNA from 1 species
ACCGGCAGCUAUAUCACAUUGCAACUCAACUGGCGGUCCACUGAAGCUCAGCAGGUGUGAGCCUGGCCAGUACCUGGAUGGGAGACCUCCUGGGAAAAACUAAGGCUGCUGCUGGAA